rnacentral:rRNA from 1 species
CCCUUAGAUGUUCUGGGCCGCACGCGCGCUACAAUGGUCUUCGCAAACGGAUGCAUUCUCGAAGGAGAAUGCCAAUCUUGGAAUCUAUGCCUUGGUCGGGACAGUUGCUUGCAAUUUUUCGACUCGAACCAGGAAUUCCUUGUAAUCGUGAUUCAUCACAUCACGAUGAAUACGUCCCUGCCCUUUGUACACACCGCCCGUCGCUCCUACCGAUCGAAGAGUUAGGUGAAUUGUUUUGAUCGAUAAGAUUUGACUAUGGUCAACUCUCGUUGUGAAAUUCUGUGAAUCCGACUGUUUAGAGGAAGGAAAAGUCGUAACA